GGGGCUUCCAGGGCCUCGGAUGGCGGCGGGCGCGCUGCCGGACCUCCCCGACCUCCCCGACCUCCUCCCCGACCUCCCCGACCUCCGUGCCGCGCCCGGCCCGCGGGGACCCCGCCGCCAGUCUGAGACUCGACUGCGUAAAAGGGGCUAGAGGACUGGCGCACGGGGCAGCGGUGCAAGCGGCAGUUGUUAAGAAUACACGGAGCGCACCCGGCUCUUAGUCAAAGAUCUGGAUCCAACUUCCCGCCGUUGUGAAUGAAACCAGAACCCACAGGAAGGCAAGCGACUGCCAGCUUCUCGAAACACGCGCUGUGACUCCCGUGGUCUCUGCGUCCCCACUGACGUGUGUCACCGAGGCCGACACACAGUGUGUAGUCAGGAAAGAAGUUAGAAAGUGAGGUUUCAUAGAAGAGAGGGCAGGAGGGGAAGAGAAUCUAACAGAUGAGAAGCUCCACCAGGGAGCAGAGGGAGGAAAAACAAGGAGACCAGAUAGACCGUGUUGAGUCUGGGCCUGGAAAUGUAUAGGCAUCUGGUGAUAGGCCAGAGCCAAAGAUAGAAGCUCGCUUGGCUUCUCUGUAGCUCUCUCUCCAGCUCUACAGCUGACUUCAUGGAGCAGCAGUUACUCAGAUCACGAGGGGCUGAUGCUAGUGGAUCUGCUUCACCAGAUGGACCCUCCACGUGGCUUCUGGAGAAGGGGCCUCUGUGGACGGUGGGGUCACUAGGGGUCACUAGGAGUACAGGCUCUGAGCGCAGGAUCAGGCUGUGCAUCCCCAACAACGGGGCAAGUGGACCUCACGUACUGUGCGAUAGGAUGUCCUGAGAAGGUCGUAGCACCACCCCCGUGAUAUUCCUGUCAAAGAUGCAUACCUGGGACAGAAUCACUAGGAUACUGGAGACAAGCCCAAAUAAAGACAUGUUCUGCCAAACAGCUGGCCUGUGAUCUUCAAGAGUGCCCAAGGCAUGUAAGUCAAAGACAGACCCUGGAAGUGCUCCAGACUGAAGAAGGCGAAGGAGACAUGACCGGUAAACGCAACACCUGAUUCUGAAUUGGACCUUUUUGCUGUAAACGAAGUUAUGGGGAUAACUGGCAAAAUUUAAAUGCGGUCUGAAGU
rnacentral:lncRNA from 1 species